rnacentral:rRNA from 1 species
GUGGGGAAUUUUGGACAAUGGGCGCAAGCCUGAUCCAGCAAUGCCGCGUGCAGGAAGAAGGCCUUCGGGUUGUAAACUGCUUUUGUACGGAACGAAACGGUCCUGGUUAAUACCUGGGGCUAAUGACGGUACCGUAAGAAUAAGCACCGGCUAACUACGUGCCAGCAGCCGCGGUAAUACGUAGAGUGCAAGCGUUAAUCGGAAUUACUGGGCGUAAAGCGUGCGCAGGCGGUUUUGUAAGACAGGCGUGAAAUCCCCGGGCUCAACCUGGGAAUUGCGCUUGUGACUGCAAGGCUGGAGUGCGGCAGAGGGGGAUGGAAUUCCGCGUGUAGCAGUGAAAUGCGUAGAUAUGCGGAGGAACACCGAUGGCGAAGGCAAUCCCCUGGGCCUGCACUGACGCUCAUGCACGAAAGCGUGGGGAGCAAACAGGAUUAGAAACCCUUGUAGUCC